AAAGUGGCGAAAGGGGCAGUAAUGUAUGGGUAACCUACCUUGAGGUCUGGGAUAGCUAUUCUAACGGAUAGGUAAUACCGGACGGCCUGAGUUGUCGGCAUCGAUGAUUUAGUAAAGGUUACGCCUCGAGAGGGGCCCAUAUGAUAUUAGCUAGUUGGUGAGGUAAUGGCUCACCAAGGCAAAGAUGUCUAGCGGGUGUGAGAGCACGACCCGCGUCACUGGCACUGAGACACUGGCCAGACUCCUACGGGAGGCUGCAGUCGAGGAUCUUCGGCAAUGGACGCAAGUCUGACCGAGCAACGCCGCGUGUGCGAUGAAGGCCUUCGGGUUGUAAAGCACUGUCGAGGGGAAACAAGCCGUAAGGUUGAGUGACCCCUGGAGGAAGCACGGGCUAAGUUCGUGCCAGCAGCCGCGGUAAGACGAACCGUGCAAACGUUAUUCAGAAUCACUGGGCUUAAAGGGCGCGUAGGCGGGUAAUCAAGUCAAUGGUGAAAGCCUCCAGCUUAACUGGAGAAGUGCCUUUGAUACUGAUUGUCUAGAGUGAGGUAGGGGCAUGUGGAACUUCCGGUGGAGCGGUGAAAUGCGUAGAUAUCGGAAGGAACGCCAGUGGCGAAAGCGAUGUGCUGGACCUUUUCUGACGCUGAGGCGCGAAAGCUAGGGGAUCAAACGGGAUUAGAUACCCCGGUAGUCCUAGCCCUAAACUAUGGGUACUAGAUUGUGGACUUUCAUGGGUUCACAGUCGAAGCAAAAGUGUUAAGUACCCCGCCUGGGGAGUAUGGUCGCAAGGCUGAAACUCAAAGGAAUUGACGG
rnacentral:rRNA from 1 species